GGGGGAUAUUGCACAAUGGGGGAAACCCUGAUGCAGCGACGCCGCGUGAGUGAAGAAGUAUUUCGGUAUGUAAAGCUCUAUCAGCAGGAAAGAAAAUGACGGUACCUGACUAAGAAGCCCCGGCUAACUAC
rnacentral:rRNA from 1 species